rnacentral:lncRNA from 1 species
ACUAAGUAUGGGUGGAUUUCUUGAUUGGGCUUGGAAUCUUCUUAUUGGGCCUUGCCCUCAAGAAUUUGGGCUUGUGAUCCAUCUCCUACCGAAAUUGAAUCGUUGAUGCUCGUAAUGGAGAUCCAAUGCGCUUUGGCUGCAAGAUUUGGUGUCUUGGACCAAGAUUCCCAAUAUUUGAAAUCUUGAUUUUCCCUUUCUUUUGUGUAUGCAUCUAAGGCCUUACUAACAAACUCCUGGAUGGUCCCAUUUAGUUUGGAACGCAUUUGUCGGGCCUUUGAUCUCGUAUCAACUAUACUACAAAAACCACUAUCUAUGGAUCAAAUACAUCUCUAACAGCUCAAAGUCAACAAACCAACAAAAAUCAUGAAAAAAAAAGGCAUAGAUUAUGGUUUCAACCAAAUUUGCUGGUUUAAUGCUCAGCAAGAGAUCUCAAAACUGGGGUUUUAAAAUCCAUCCCAGAAACAAAUGCAGGAUCCCAGAUCAGAGGAAUAUAAUUCCCAGCUUACGGUUUGCUAGAAAACCAAACUUCAGCAACAGAUAAUAAGAAACAGAAAACAACCCAGAAUUCCAAUCAGCCGAAUAAAGCCAAAGCUACUCUCCCAGUUCAAAAACAAAUUCAACUUACACAAGUACAAAGCAGAAAGGAAGGAAGAAAGAAGUAAGAACCUUUCAGUUUAUGAUCCUUUGGUAAUAUAACUUGAAAAGCGAGUACGUUCAAGAACAAGACAAUGGAAUAUGAGUCAUAAUGAUGGGAUUUCGAGGUUUUCGAUUCUGUUGUUGUUUUCUUUUAGCUACUGAGAGAUGAAAAUGUCCAGAAGUCAAAACGCAUUGCAAUGGAAAACCAAUGAGAAAGAGAGAGCGGGUUUUUCAAGAAAAAAUUUUGUACUAACAAAACAAUCAAUGAAAAAGUUGAAAUCAAGUCUUUUUCAUUUCACCGGAAAAUUUCAAUCCCGA